GGGCCCAUGGCGCAGCCUGGAUAGCGUAGCAGAUUCCUAAUCUGUAGGUCGCAGGUUCAAAUCCUGCUGGGCCCG
rnacentral:tRNA from 1 species